GGGCCGAAAUGGACGUCUCUGAUUGGAUGAUUCGACCGCGAGGCUGGCGCGAGGAAACACACCUGUGACAUGGCGGGGUUAAUUAAGGUCAAAAUAAAGAAGAGAUCAACUAAGUUGUGUUCGAAUUUUGGUUAAAUACAGUGCUUUCUAGAAAUCCAGUUGAGCUCUGAUGGGCCUUCAGGGAGAGCUGCAAAUAAAAGCGGGUUUCAUCAGCACCUCUGUAACAAUUACAUCAAUCCCCUAAUGUCACAAUUUAAUAGAAACACAGGGGAUCGUCCUGAAGCGCUUUCUAAUUCUGGAUCUGCAGUGAGAAUACACACAGUCAGUGGCUUCUUAACAUGAAGCUACCUGCAACCAUCACAGCUGCUCGUGGUUCUUCUUUGGGAAUAAAUAAACAAUAGCAACUAAACAAUAGCCUCUUUAUUUUGGAGUAUAAAUUUCAGAAACAGACAUCACCGUGACUUACAGUAAAAGUACAGCAAACGUGGGAAGCUUCAAACCAUUUGCUUUCUAGUGUACAAGGCUGUGAGGUCUUUGGAACAUGCUCGUGUGUGAUUAUGGCAGAAGCGUCGACUUUACAAAGAACAUGGCGCAAAGCUGUUCAGCACAAUCAAAUGCAAAGUAAACCUGACACAUCAGGAUAUUCAAAAGCAAACACAGUGACGUGACCUUCACUUACAAAAACCUGCGCACAAAACACAUUUGGAUGAAACAUCACGACUGCUUCCUACCUCUGAAACAGCAAAUUAUAAAUUCAAAUCUAUAAUAACAAUAACAGCUUCAUGUCAUUAAAAGCACAGUAACUAUUCUUUCAGAACAUUCAAAUCUCU